UAGUCUGGUGCCAGCAGCCGCGGUAAUACGGGGGAUGCAAGCGUUAUCCGGAAUCAUUGGGCGUAAAGCGCCUGUAGGUUGUUUAAUAAGUCCGUUGUUAAAGACUAGGGCUUAACCCUAGGAAAGCGAUGGAAACUGAUAGACUUGAGUAUGGCAGGGGUAGAGGGAAUUUCUAGUGUAGCGGUGAAAUGCGUAGAUAUUAGAAAGGACACCGGUGGCGAAAGCGCUCUACUGGACCAUUACUGACACUGAGAGGCGAAAGCUAGGGGAGCGAAAGGGAUUAGAUACCCCUGUAGUCCUAGCCGUAAACGAUGGAUACUAGAUGUUGUGCAAUUUGGACAGUAUCGUAGCUAACGCGUUAAGUAUCCCGCCUGGGGAGUACGCUCGCAAGGGUGAAACUCAAAGGAAUUGACGGGGGCCCGCACAAGCGGUGGAGCAUGUGGUUUAAUUCGAUGCAACGCGAAGAACCUUACCAGGGCUUGACAUACUACAGAUCUUUUUGAGAAAGAAGAGUGCCUUCGGGAAUGUAGAUACAGGUGG
rnacentral:rRNA from 1 species